UACCAACCCGAUGCAAACUGCGAAUACCGGAGAAUGUUAUCACGGGAGACACACGGCGGGUGCUAACGUCCGUCGUGAAGAGGGAAACAACCCAGACCGCCAGCUAAGGUCCCAAAGUCAUGGUUAAGUGGGAAACGAUGUGGGAAGGCCCAGACAGCCAGGAUGUUGGCUUAGAAGCAGCCAUCAUUUAAAGAAAGCGUAAUAGCUCACUGGUCGAGUCGGCCUGCGCGGAAGAUGUAACGGGGCUAAACCAUGCACCGAAGCUGCGGCAGCGACACUAUGUGUUGUUGGGUAGGGGAGCGUUCUGUAAGCCUGUGAAGGUGUACUGUGAGGUAUGCUGGAGGUAUCAGAAGUGCGAAUGCUGACAUAAGUAACGAUAAAGCGGGUGAAAAGCCCGCUCGCCGGAAGACCAAGGGUUCCUGUCCAACGUUAAUCGGGGCAGGGUGAGUCGACCCCUAAGGCGAGGCCGAAAGGCGUAGUCGAUGGGAAACAGGUUAAUAUUCCUGUACUUGGUGUUACUGCGAAGGGGGGACGGAGAAGGCUAUGUUGGCCGGGCGACGGUUGUCCCGGUUUAAGCGUGUAGGCUGGUUUUCCAGGCAAAUCCGGAAAAUCAAGGCUGAGGCGUGAUGACGAGGCACUACGGUGCUGAAGCAACAAAUGCCCUGCUUCCAGGAAAAGCCUCUAAGCAUCAGGUAACAUCAAAUCGUACCCCAAACCGACACAGGUGGUCAGGUAGAGAAUACCAAGGCGCUUGAGAGAACUCGGGUGAAGGAACUAGGCAAAAUGGUGCCGUAACUUCGGGAGAAGGCACGCUGAUAUGUAGGUGAAGUCCCUCGCGGAUGGAGCUGAAAUCAGUCGAAGAUACCAGCUGGCUGCAACUGUUUAUUAAAAACACAGCACUGUGCAAACACGAAAGUGGACGUAUACGGUGUGACGCCUGCCCGGUGCCGGAAGGU
rnacentral:rRNA from 1 species